CCUACGGGGGGCAGCAGUAGGGAAUAUUGGGCAAUGGGCGAAAGCCUGACCCAGCGACGCCGCGUGAGGGAUGAAGGUCUUCGGAUUGUAAACCUCUUUCAGUAGGGAAGAAGCGAAAGUGACGGUACCUAAAGAAGAAGCACCGGCUAACUAUGUGCCAGCAGCCGCGGUAAUACAUAGGGUGCAAGCGUUGUCCGGAAUUAUUGGGCGUAAAGAGCUCGUAGGUCGUUUGUCGCGUCGAUUGUGAAAAUCUGAGGCUCAACCUCAGACCUGCAGUCGA
rnacentral:rRNA from 1 species